rnacentral:tRNA from 1 species
GCCGCUUUAGCUCAGUUGGUAGAGCACGUCAUUUGUAAUGACGGGGUCAGGUGUUCGAGUCACCUAAGCGGCACCA